rnacentral:rRNA from 1 species
AACGAACGCUGGCGGCAGGCCUAACACAUGCCAGUCGAGCGAGCAUUUCGGUGCUAGCGGCGGACGGGUGAGUAACGCGUGGGAACGUGCCCUUUUCUGCGGAAUAGUCCUGGGAAACUGGGGGUAAUACCGCAUACGCCCUUUUGGGGAAAGAUUUAUCGGAGAAGGAUCGGCCCGCGUUGGAUUAGGUAGUUGGUGGGGUAAUGGCCCACCAAGCCGACGAUCCAUAGCUGGUUUGAGAGGAUGAUCAGCCACACUGGGACUGAGACACGGCCCAGACUCCUACGGGAGGCAGCAGUGGGGAAUAUUGGACAAUGGGCGCAAGCCUGAUCCAGCAAUGCCGCGUGAGUGAUGAAGGCCUUAGGGUUGUAAAGCUCUUUUACCCGGGAUGAUAAUGACAGUACCGGGAGAAUAAGCUCCGGCUAACUCCGUG